UACGGAGGGAGCAAGCGUUACUCGGAAUUACUGGGCGUAAAGCGUGCGCAGGCGGUUUUGUAAGCCAGAUGUGAAAUCCCCGGGCUUAACCUGGGAAUGGCAUUUGGGACUGCAAGGCUCGAGUGCGGCAGAGGAGACUGGAAUUCCUGGUGUAGCAGUGAAAUGCGUAGAUAUCAGGAGGAACACCGAUGGCGAAGGCAGGUCUCUGGGCUGACACUGACGCUCAUGCACGAAAGCGUGGGGAGCAAACAGG
rnacentral:rRNA from 1 species